AGUUGGCUGUCGCGGGCCUCCAAGCCCUUCUCACGCAACUCCUGGGCUGCGGGUCUCCCCGGCCAGGUGGCGCGGGGAGGGGCCGGGCCACCUCUGGCCUCUGCAAGCCUGCAGGUGCUCCGACGCGGGCGGGGGAGCCUCCGCGCCCCUUCGCAUUCCCCCCUCGCACCCUGGCCGGUCCCGGGGGGCCCCCUCUAGCCCUUGCGCUCUGUAGCCCCCGCAAAGUACUAGCGACCCCCUGGCCUCCUUCCUGGACCCAGGGGCAACCUCGAGGGCCAGGGUCCGGCGGGAGGUGGCCCUGGGUUGCCACGCGCCUGACCCCGGAGGCGGCGCCCGGAGAGCCCGCGCGACCCUCGGUCCGUGAGCGCGACGUUCGCCGGGUCGUCGCGCCCUGGGGGACGGGGCCAGCUCAGCGGCGCCUCUGGCCUUCCGGCGGCCGUGACCUCGGGCACAGGGUCGCUGAGCUUCUCACGCGAGCAGGGACUCAGUAACCCCGGGGGAGCGGUCGCCACGGGCAGCCCCGCCCCGCCUGGCCGGUUGGCUGGGCAGCGAAUGGGGGAAGGGGGACUGGCACCGCCGUGUCCCGGUCGGUGCAAAAAUGAUGUCGGGAGAUCCGGAUCUCCCGACGGAGCCCCUCAGGCCCCCUUUUCCGGGUGAGCUCCAGCUUCUGCCUCAAACCCCCGCGAUGCAUAAGGGGGUGCCUUGUAACUGGGGGUCCCAGGUAUCCGCAGCCUCCACCCCUUAUGUGCAGGCACCUAGAUGAGGCCUCCCUGUGGAGGUCUUGUCUGUCCCCUCCUCCCCCUUCUCGUCCCACCCUGGAGGGCCCAGCCCCCGCCCCGCAGCCCUCCCUCUCCCCCCCACCCACCGGGGCAGCCCCUCCCUCCCCCCUCCAGUAAAGGAAGGCGUGGCCACACGCAGCCUCCUAUAAAGGUGGCAGUGCCCUGGCCCUCACC
rnacentral:misc_RNA from 1 species